rnacentral:rRNA from 1 species
UAGGGAAUCUUCCGCAAUGGGCGAAAGCCUGACGGAGCAACGCCGCGUGAGUGAUGAAGGUCUUCGGAUCGUAAAACUCUGUUAUUAGGGAAGAACAAAUGUGUAAGUAACUAUGCACGUCUUGACGGUACCUAAUCAGAAAGCCACGGCUAACUACGUGCCAGCAGCCGCGGUAAUACGUAGGUGGCAAGCGUUAUCCGGAAUUAUUGGGCGUAAAGCGCGCGUAGGCGGUUUUUUAAGUCUGAUGUGAAAGCCCACGGCUCAACCGUGGAGGGUCAUUGGAAACUGGAAAACUUGGGUGCAGAAGAGGAAAGUGGAAUUCCAUGUGUAGCAGUGAAAUGCGCAGAGAUAUGGAGGAACACCAGUGGCGAAGGCGACUUUCUGGUCUGUAACUGACGCUGAUGUGCGAAAGCGUGGGGAUCAAACAGG